rnacentral:sRNA from 1 species
AUGUAGCCCCGGAUCCCCGGGCGGCCGCGGAGGAGGGGGCGACCACAAGAUGGCGGACCUCUCGCUGCUUCAGGAGGACCUGCAGGAGGACGCAGACGGAUGUGAGUGGCCCGGCCUCGCGGUGGCCUGGCACUCCGCGGGGAGCGGCCGGGGAGGGCGGGCGGCGGCGAGGCCUGGGCCGGGCCCUGGCUGGCUGAGGGGACGGUGGGCGAGGGCGGCCCCAGGCGGGCUGGGGUGGCGAUCUGGAGGGAAAAUCUCGCGUCCGUGAGGAAACGGCGCGCCCAGGUUCCGCUGGGGGAGGGAGACGCCCGGAGUAACGCCCAAGUUCGCUUUCCGCCCUUCGCUCUCUUCUCCCGGCGCCCCCGAAUCGCCUGCGGGCUCAGCAGUGGCGCGGCUGUUUUGGAAGAAGCGGUGGGGCAGGAUUUGAAGUGGGGUUUGCGUGUGUUUCUGCCCCUGGUGUCCCCUUCCCCCGUCACUCUAGGAAGGAAGAGGCUCGCGCGGGAGGUGUGUUUCCUUAGAGUCGCCCUU